CCUACGGGAGGCAGCAGUGCGGAAUAUUGGGCAAUGGGGGCAACCCUGACCCAGCCAUGCCGCGUGAGUGAAGAAGUUCUUCGGAUUGUAAAGCUCUUUCGGCCGUGACGAUGGUGACGGUGGCGUCUAACUAAGCACCGGCCAACUUCGUGCCAGCAGCCGCGGUAAUACGACGGGUGCGAGCGUUGUUCGGAAUUACUGGGCGUAAAGGGAGUGUAGGCGGGGAUGUAGGAUAGCGGUGAAAUGCCGGGGCUCAACCCCGGAACUGCCAUUAUGACUAUGUAUCUAGAGUAAUGGAGAGGAUAGCGGAAUACCCAGUGUAGAGGUGAAAUUCGUAGAUAUUGGGUAGAACACCGGUGGCGAAGGCGGCUAGCUGGACAGUUACUGACGCUGAGGUUCGAAAGCAUGGGGAUCAAACAGGAUUAGAUACCCGGGUAGUC
rnacentral:rRNA from 1 species